rnacentral:rRNA from 1 species
GUACACUCCUACGGGAGGCAGCAGUGGGGAAUUUUGGACAAUGGGCGAAAGCCUGAUCCAGCAAUGCCGCGUGAGUGAAGAAGGCCUUCGGGUUGUAAAGCUCUUUUGUCAGGGAAGAAACGGUGAAAGCUAAUAUCUUUUGCUAAUGACGGUACCUGAAGAAUAAGCACCGGCUAACUACGUGCCAGCAGCCGCGGUAAUACGUAGGGUGCAAGCGUUAAUCGGAAUCACUGGGCGUAAAGCGUGCGCAGGCGGUUUUGUAAGUCUGAUGUGAAAUCCCCGGGCUCAACCUGGGAAUUGCAUUGGAGACUGCAAGGCUAGAAUCUGGCAGAGGGGGGUAGAAUUCCACGUGUAGCAGUGAAAUGCGUAGAUAUGUGGAGGAACACCGAUGGCGAAGGCAGCCCCCUGGGUCAAGAUUGACGCUCAUGCACGAAAGCGUGGGGAGCAAACAGGAUUAGAAACCCUGGUAGUCCC